UGCAAGUCGAGGGGUAACAGAAAAGCUUGCUUUUGCUGACGACCGGCGCACGGGUGCGUAACGCGUAUGCAACCUACCUCAUACUGGAGGAUAGCCCCUGGAAACGGGGAUUAAUACUCCAUAGUAUCACAAUUUCGCAUGUUAUUGUGAUUAAAGUUUUUCGGUAUGAGAUGGGCAUGCGUCCCAUUAGCUUGUUGGUGAGGUAACGGCUCACCAAGGCAACGAUGGGUAGGGGGCCUGAGAGGGUGGUCCCCCACACUGGUACUGAGACACGGACCAGACUCCUACGGGAGGCAGCAGUGAGGAAUAUUGGUCAAUGGAGGAAACUCUGAACCAGCCAUGCCGCGUGAAGGAUGACGGCCCUAUGGGUUGUAAACUUCUUUUAUAGAGGAAGAAACUUGUCUACGUGUAGACAACUGACGGUACUCUACGAAUAAGGAUCGGCUAACUCCGUGCCAGCAGCCGCGGUAAUACGGAGGAUCCAGGCGUUAUCCGGAUUCAUUGGGUUUAAAGGGUCCGUAGGCGGAUUUUUAAGUCAGUGGUGAAAGCCGACAGCCCAACUGUCGAACUGCCAUUGAUACUGGAAAUCUUGAGUACAAAUGAAGUAGGCGGAAUGAGUCAUGUAGCGGUGAAAUGCAUAGAUAUGACUCAGAACACCGAUUGGGAAGGCAGCUUACUAACAUGUAACUGACGCUGAGGGACGAAAGCGUGGGGAGCGAACAGGAUUAGAUACCCUGGUAGUCCACGCCGUAAAC
rnacentral:rRNA from 1 species